UACGUAGGGUGCAAGCGUUGUCCGGAAUUAUUGGGCGUAAAGAGCUCGUAGGCGGUUCGUCGCGUCGGCUGUGAAAACCCGAGGCUCAACCUCGGGCCUGCAGUCGAUACGGGCGGACUGGAGUUCGGCAGGGGAGACUGGAAUUCCUGGUGUAGCGGUGAAAUGCGCAGAUAUCAGGAGGAACACCGGUGGCGAAGGCGGGUCUCUGGGCCGGUCCUGACGCUGAGACGCGAAGGCGUGGGGAGCGAACGGG
rnacentral:rRNA from 1 species